rnacentral:rRNA from 1 species
AGCGAACGCUGGCGGCAGGCCUAACACAUGCAAGUCGAACGAAGUCUUCGGACUUAGUGGCGGACGGGUGAGUAACACGUGGGAACGUGCCUUUAGGUUCGGAAUAACUCAGGGAAACUUGUGCUAAUACCGAAUGUGCCCUUCGGGGGAAAGAUUUAUCGCCUUUAGAGCGGCCCGCGUCUGAUUAGCUAGUUGGUGAGGUAAAGGCUCACCAAGGCGACGAUCAGUAGCUGGUCUGAGAGGAUGAUCAGCCACAUUGGGACUGAGACACGGCACAAACUCCUGCGGGAGGCAGAAGUGGGGAAUCUUGCGCAAUGGGCGAAAGCCUGACGCAGCCAUGCCGCGUGAAUGAUGAAGGUCUUAGGAUUGUAAAAUUCUUUCACCGGGGACGUUAAUGACGGUACCCGGAGAAGAAGCCCCGGCUAACUUCGUGCCAGCCGCCGCCGUAACAC